CAUUUACACUUUUUUAUAUGCUUGCCAACAUUUUAUAUGACCGAUGAACACGUUGAGGUUACGAGUUGUAGUAUUACGUAAAGAGAUAAGACUUGAUGGAUGAGUAAACUCUUCGUUAGUUAAUUGUCAUUUAUCAUUGAAUCUAUAUGCGAUGCAAACAAUUUUUUUAUCUUUUCUAAAUUCUUAUUUUUAUUUUAAUUUCUAUUUCAUGAAAAAUAUUACGUUAACGGAAUUAAUUCAUCAAAAAGAUCGAUGAAACAAAAUUCAGAAAGCUUAAUAGCAAAUAAGAUUACAUUUCUCACGACAGAUGGCAGUCUUUUAACUGGACAAACGAACAUUUAGCCUAAUUCUCGAUUGUUGCUGCAAGUAAACCUAUUUUGGAAGUUUAAGCCGUUAUUGGAAUCGACAUUGUUAAAAUGAAUGGAUGCAGGUUGAACAAUCAAACAGCUGUGUUGUAAAUACAAAGUGGAUUAUUCUGAAGAGAGCCUACGGCAAAUCGAGCUCGGCCACUUUCAAUUAACCUUCGAUGUAUGGUUCAGAAAAUCUCAUUUAAUUAACGUUUGGUGAUUGGGAUUAGCUGUAAUUGCGACGGACAUUUAAUCGAUUACGAGGUUAUAAAAGGUCAUGUUGAAAGAACAGCGUUGAAGAUGUUAUAUCAGAGAAUAUAGUGGACGAAGAAAAUUCGUAAUUAAUUUUAUACGUUUUUAACAGAAAGAGACAUGGCAAGCGUGCUCAUGCCCUAUAACCUGAUAUCAGAACAGGUUUAACCUCAUCGUUAAACCCUCUGAUAAUGAGAACAUAAUUUCAACUAGUAACACGUCUACGUUUUCCAUCCUGUUUCUAUCCAAAAGGGAAUUUCACCAUGAAAACAGCUCAGUUGGUGAGAGUUGAUCACGUAUCGAGGCAAAAAGUUACUGGUUACUUCAUCGACUCGAAUAUGGAGCGGCUAAAAAUAGGAAAUCGAUGAGGAAAAAAGCAUCGUGAUUAGAACCUAACCUAUAUCUAAUACCGUUAAUGGAUGAUGCAAUGA